rfam:Gossypium raimondii chromosome 11, whole genome shotgun sequence.
GUCAUUGUAGUAUAGUGGUAAGUACUCCCACCUGUCACGCAGGUGACCUGGGUUCGAUCCCCAAUAACGGCA